GUACGGUUGCAACGACGGCGCUCGGGCGGAGUCGGGCGCGCCUUCGGUGACGGCGACGUCAUGGCGCAAGAUGGCCGUCGAUAUCGGGAAUGGUGUAUCGUAGACGAGGCUGGGCGGUAGGAAUUCCGGGGAAUAGGUGUGUCGGUGUUUUGGCAUUACGUGCAAGAUAACGCUCCAUUAGAAUGAAGUCCAGCCGCGUCGUUGUCGUCAUUGCCGCUGCGGGCUAAACUCGGAGUUUCGGCGCCGCGCAGCGCAGUGUCCGUCGUGUACGAAUCGUACGUACAAAUCGGCACAAACCGCGCGUCUCAUCCGGUCUUCCUCUCUCUCUCUCUUUCUUUUAUUAUCUCCUCUUUCUCUCUCUUUGAUGUCGGUGAUAAGUAAGCAAAUGUUGUGAGCUUCCUGAUCCAGGAGAUCUUCGAUUUCCCUUUCUCGGAUCUCCAGCUACUGUGUAUUUACGCGAGGAGGAUGAUCUCCGUGAAAGCCUCUAGCGUUUAAGAAUCGAAAAGGAAAAGUCGGCGAGAAUAAGCAUAAAUCGACAUGCACCGAAAAAUUUAAGAGUCCAAAAAUGAGGUGGCGCCGGCUUUCUUCUCGGCAAUAACUGCUCCAUGGGUGUGAGACUCCCAGUGAACGGGCACAGGAUCAUUCAAAAGUGCACAAUCGAAAAUCUGACCACAUUAAGCUAAAGAAAAAAACGAGCAAUAAGAUACCUGAAGUAGAGGACUAUCUCGUCUCUCUUUUGCUCUCUUUGUCUUAAUAAUAAGUGCUUUACAGAAUUGGCCGGGGAUGCAGCAUUACUAUUGCUAGUAUCACUAUUAUUAUUAAUAUUAUUACUAUUAUUGUUGUUACUAUUGUCUACGUAGCUGGUUGAUUUGUUAAAAUUGUUCAAGAUCACAAAUCAAACUGGAAGAAGAAUGAAAAAGUGACAGUUAUAUCUUCUAGAAAAAAAUAGAUAUAUUAAUAGGUAAAAAAAAAAUUCAGAGAUGAGCUAUCUAAAAGAAAAGAAUGAAAAGAAUCGUUAUCUUCGAAAAUAAAUGGAUAUUUGUUUUGAAAAAGGAAAGUUCGCAAAAAUGUAUAGCCAAGUGUUUUCAAGAUGAUGAAAAAUUUCUACAAACGCAAGAAUGCACGUAAAAUGAGAUUCUGUGAGAUUUUGGCUAUAAGAACAAGAACAAAACUGAAGAUACAAAAAAAUGAUCGUUUAUUUUGAUCACGAAUUCUUUUAAGAUACAAGAAAAAACAUUGAAUCAUGGUUAAUAUGUUAUCGAUUUAUUUAUCAUGGUGCUAGAUACGAACUAUUCGAAAUAAGAAUUGAAUUACGAUCGAUUGAUUUUCCAGAUUGAAUGAAGCAUGAUAUUAAUAUUAAUAUUUCGAUGCUAGAGUUUGAUAAAAGAAUAUUGCCAUACCGCUAAAACUGGAAGAGCAGAAGAAGGAUGUAUUCAAAACUAAACUGCAGCAUUCCAAAUGAUUGGACAUCUAGUAAGGAGAAAGGAGCCGGCAAAGUAAACGGCGGCCUUCGAGUUUGACUGAUAGCGCGCGCGAGCUUCUCUUUCUCUUUUUCUCUCUUUCUUUCUUUCUCUUUCUGGUAUGACUGAAAGUCGCGAGAAUGAGCGUGAACAUAUAUGAAGUUGAGACGAGCGUGUAUAGUGCAUGCGGUGAGGAGGCUUUUACUAUGGAGCGAUGUACGAGUCUCCGCUCUUGCACGAUCGGCGAAGUGAAUACGCCGCGUGAUCGGGAAACGUCGGCUUCGAAGUCGCGACGGUAGACGAGCGCUCUCGAUCGAAGCAGGCGCGAUCGCGUGGAAGCCUUCGUCGAGGGAGAAAUAGAGACGCACGUUUUUACUACGGCUUCGUGUUCGCAGUAGGGACACUUAAUUUAUAUGACGGUUUAAUUUGAGAUUUGAGAAACAAUAAUAUUCCGUUAACGGAAUGAGUGAGAAAAUUAAAUGAAUCAAUCACAGACUUAUCUCAAAAAGCGAAUCUCGCUAAGUAAAUCCAAAACAUAUAAACUGGCCAGUUGUCGGCAACAAGCGCGUGAAUUUUGUGGAAUCAUUUGUUUUAUUCUUUACACACGUGAAAAGCAUUUUCUCGUGAAAUUGAGAUAGACUGAAUCAUGCAAUAGAAACAUUAUGAAGCUGUAAUCUGUAUGUGUUUGGAACGAGAGAAAGAAAUUAUGGGAAAUCAUUAACUAAUGCCGGACAAAAGAAGUUUGAAAAUAAACAGGAAGAUGCUAAGGGUGCUCGCAAAAUCGAAGUCGGUGAACUUCGUUAUAAGAGUUAUAUUACCUUACACACGAUCACGGAAUUGAGUGGAAAAUACUUUAUACGAUUAUGCGGCACAUCGAUGUGCUAUGAAGUCGUGCCACGAGAGGAAAAUACGUACGCGAGAUUCAUUGCUUUCGGGGUGUGAAUAAUAACAAAAUAAUAUAAUAAUCCCGACAAGCGCGGAGAACGACCGCGUCGUGACGACGACAACAGCAUACAACGUGCAAAAUGUGGAAUAUGAUGUGCGAUGUGAUGCCGACGAUCGCGGAGGACAGCAUGAGCCAGCGGAGCUCGCAAUUCUCCGGCGAGGACGGGAACAUCGAGCAACUAAUGGUGCAAAUGCUAGAUGAGCGUGACAAAAUGAUGGAAUCGAUGCGCGAGCACCAGGAGCGGCUGCAGGAGAUGGAGGCGCGAUUGGCGGAGGUUGAGAAGGAACGGGAUGCCUUGAAUCGCCAGCUUAACGCAAAUAUUCCCCAGGUAAGUCAAUUCUAUGUUUAUUUGCAGUCGAGCACGCGCAAAGCUUUAGUGUGUUUCAAAUAGCGGCGUUAACGUGAAUCUACAUAUCUUGAACAAAGAGCUAAUGUUUAUAGAAAAUAUAAUAAAGAAUUACUUUAAAAUAAAAUAAUAGAAAGAUGUUAGGUACAAAGAAAUGAUUAUAUU